rnacentral:lncRNA from 1 species
GGUUGGCCUUGCAAACUGCUGUGCAAUUUGGUGGAGAAAGGCCACAGAGAAACAGCGCAAGCCAGGAAACUAAGUUUUCUUCCAGGCUGCUGCCCAGAGUUAUCCCUCGCUGGUCAAGAAGGUGCAAUAAAGCUCCACAGUUGGAAGAUCUAGCCUGUGUCCACAGCCAUCUCAUCAACCCCUGGUUUCUUCCCAAAAUUUUCUUCUUAUUUUAUUGAACACCUGCUUCGCAACUCUGCACAACUGUACACAACGUUCAUGCUUCUAAAGUCACUUACUAACAAAUUAUAAUCUGAAAAGUUUGAUGAUAGGUAUGGAAGACAAAUUCCCAGACUUUUUUCCAAGAAACUGCUAACAACAACAACAUGACUAUCUGGAACUAGAGAAACAUAUGCAUUCAAUUUGGAUUGUACUUAUUG